rnacentral:rRNA from 1 species
CGAUAGUGAACCAGUACCGUGAGGGAAAGGCGAAAAGAACCCCGGCGAGGGGAGUGAAAAAGAACCUGAAACCGUGUACGUACAAGCAGUGGGAGCCUCUUAAUGGGGUGACUGCGUACCUUUUGUAUAAUGGGUCAGCGACUUAUAUUCUGUAGCAAGGUUAACCGAAUAGGGGAGCCGAAGGGAAACCGAGUCUUAACUGGGCGUUAAGUUGCAGGGUAUAGACCCGAAACCCGGUGAUCUAGCCAUGGGCAGGUUGAAGGUUGGGUAACACUAACUGGAGGACCGAACCGACUAAUGUUGAAAAAUUAGCGGAUGACUUGUGGCUGGGGGUGAAAGGCCAAUCAAACCGGGAGAUAGCUGGUUCUCCCCGAAAGCUAUUUAGGUAGCGCCUCGUGAAUUCAUCUCCGGGGGUAGAGCACUGUUUCGGCAAGGGGGUCAUCCCGACUUACCAACCCGAUGCAAACUGCGAAUACCGGAGAAUGUUAUCACGGGAGACACACGGCGGGUGCUAACGUCCGUCGUGAAGAGGGAAACAACCCAGACCGCCAGCUAAGGUCCCAAAGUCAUGGUUAAGUGGGAAACGAUGUGGGAAGGCCCAGACAGCCAGGAUGUUGGCUUAGAAGCAGCCAUCAUUUAAAGAAAGCGUAAUAGCUCACUGGUCGAGUCGGCCUGCGCGGAAGAUGUAACGGGGCUAAACCAUGCACCGAAGCUGCGGCAGCGACACUAUGUGUUGUUGGGUAGGGGAGCGUUCUGUAAGCCUGUGAAGGUGGCCUGUGAGGGUUGCUGGAGGUAUCAGAAGUGCGAAUGCUGACAUAAGUAACGAUAAAGCGGGUGAAAAGCCCGCUCGCCGGAAGACCAAGGGUUCCUGUCCAACGUUAAUCGGGGCAGGGUGAGUCGACCCCUAAGGCGAGGCCGAAAGGCGUAGUCGAUGGGAAACAGGUUAAUAUUCCUGUACUUGGUGUUACUGCGAAGGGGGGACGGAGAAGGCUAUGUUGGCCGGGCGACGGUUGUCCCGGUUUAAGCGUGUAGGCUGGUUUUCCAGGCAAAUCCGGAAAACCAAGGCUGAGGCGUGAUGACGAGGCACUACGGUGCUGAAGCGACAAAUGCCCUGCUUCCAGGAAAAGCCUCUAAGCAUCAGGUAACAUCAAAUCGUACCCAAAACCGACACAGGUGGUCAGGUAGAGAAUACCAAGGCGCUUGAGAGAACUCGGGUGAAGGAACUAGGCAAAAUGGUGCCGUAACUUCGGGAGAAGGCACGCUGAUAUGUAGGUGAAGCGACUUGCUCGUGGAGCUGAAAUCAGUCGAAGAUACCAGCUGGCUGCAACUGUUUAUUAAAAACACAGCACUGUGCAAACACGAAAGUGGACGUAUACGGUGUGACGCCUGCCCGGUGCCGGAAGGUUAAUUGAUGGGGUUAGCGGUAACGCGAAGCUCUUGAUCGAAGCCCCGGUAAACGGCGGCCGUAACUAUAACGGUCCUAAGGUAGCGAAAUUCCUUGUCGGGUAAGUUCCGACCUGCACGAAUGGCGUAAUGAUGGCCAGGCUGUCUCCACCCGAGACUCAGUGAAAUUGAACUCGCUGUGAAGAUGCAGUGUACCCGCGGCAAGACGGAAAGACCCCGUGAACCUUUACUAUAGCUUGACACUGAACAUUGAGCCUUGAUGUGUAGGAUAGGUGGGAGGCUUUGAAGUGUGGACGCCAGUCUGCAUGGAGCCGACCUUGAAAUACCACCCUUUAAUGUUUGAUGUUCUAACGUUGGCCCGUAAUCCGGGUUGCGGACAGUGUCUGGUGGGUAGUUUGACUGGGGCGGUCUCCUCCUAAAGAGUAACGGAGGAGCACGAAGGUUGGCUAAUCCUGGUCGGACAUCAGGAGGUUAGUGCAAUGGCAUAAGCCAGCUUGACUGCGAGCGUGACGGCGCGAGCAGGUGCGAAAGCAGGUCAUAGUGAUCCGGUGGUUCUGAAUGGAAGGGCCAUCGCUCAACGGAUAAAAGGUACUCCGGGGAUAACAGGCUGAUACCGCCCAAGAGUUCAUAUCGACGGCGGUGUUUGGCACCUCGAUGUCGGCUCAUCACAUCCUGGGGCUGAAGUAGGUCCCAAGGGUAUGGCUGUUCGCCAUUUAAAGUGGUACGCGAGCUGGGUUUAGAACGUCGUGAGACAGUUCGGUCCCUAUCUGCCGUGGGCGCUGGAGAACUGAGGGGGGCUGCUCCUAGUACGAGAGGACCGGAGUGGACGCAUCACUGGUGUUCGGGUUGUCAUGCCAAUGGCACUGCCCGGUAGCUAAAUGCGGAAGAGAUAAGUGCUGAAAGCAUCUAAGCACGAAACUUGCCCCGAGAUG